rnacentral:rRNA from 1 species
UACGAAGGAUCCAAGCGUUAUCCGGAUUUAUUGGGUUUAAAGGGUGCGUAGGCGGCUUAUUAAGUCAGUGGUGAAAGCCUGCAGCUUAACUGCAGAACUGCCAUUGAUACUGAUGAGCUUGAGUACAGUUGAGGUGGGCGGAAUGUGUCAUGUAGCGGUGAAAUGCUUAGAUAUGACACAGAACACCGAUUGCGAAGGCAGCUCGCUAAACUGAAACUGACGCUGAGGCACGAAAGCGUGGGGAGCGAACAGG